rnacentral:rRNA from 1 species
UACGAAGGGGGCUAGCGUUGCUCGGAAUCACUGGGCGUAAAGGGCGCGUAGGCGGCCAUUCAAGUCGGAGGUGAAAGCCCCAGGGCUCAACCCUGGAAUUGCCUUCGAUACUGUUUGGCUAGAGACCGGAAGAGGUAAGUGGAACUGCGAGUGUAGAGGUGAAAUUCGUAGAUAUUCGCAAGAACACCAGUGGCGAAGGCGGCUUACUGGUCCGGUUCUGACGCUGAGGCGCGAAAGCGUGGGGAGCAAACAGG